rnacentral:rRNA from 1 species
GGAAUUUUGGACAAUGGGCGAAAGCCUGAUCCAGCAAUGCCGCGUGCAGGAUGAAGGCGCUCGGGUUGUAAACUGCUUUUGUACGGAACGAAAAGACCUUUUCUAAUAAAGAGGGUUGAUGACGGUACCGUAAGAAGAAGCACCGGCUAACUACGUGCCAGCAGCCGCGGUAAUACGUAGGGUGGGAGCGUUAAUCGGAAUUACUGGGCGUAAAGCGUGCGCAGGCGGUUAUGUAAGACAGAGGUGAAAUCCCCGGGCUCAACCUGGGAACGGCCUUUGUGACUGCAUGGCUAGAGUGCGGCAGAGGGGGAUGGAAUUCCGCGUGUAGCAGUGAAAUGCGUAGAUAAGCGGCGGAACACCGAUGGCGAAGGCAAUCCCCUGGGCCUGCACUGACGCUCAUGCACGAAAGCGUGGGGAGCAA